GAUGAACGCUGGCGGCGUGCCUAAUACAUGCAAGUCGAGCGAACAGACGAGGAGCUUGCUCCUCUGACGUUAGCGGCUGACGGGUGAGUAACACGUGGAUAACCUACCUAUAAGACUGGGAUAACUUCGUGAAACCGGAGCUAAUACCGGAUAAUAUAUUGAACCGCAUGGUUCAAUAGUGAAAGACGGUUUUGCUGUCACUUAUAGAUGGAUCCGCGCCGCAUUAGCUAGUUGGUAAGGUAACGGCUUACCAAGGCAACGAUGCGUAGCCGACCUGAGAGGGUGAUCGGCCACACUGGAACUGAGACACGGUCCAGACUCCUACGGGAGGCAGCAGUAGGGAAUCUUCCGCAAUGGGCGAAAGCCUGACGGAGCAACGCCGCGUGAGUGAUGAAGGUCUUCGGAUCGUAAAACUCUGUUAUUAGGGAAGAACAAAUGUGUAAGUAACUAUGCACGUCUUGACGGUACCUAAUCAGAAAGCCACGGCUAACUACGUG
rnacentral:rRNA from 1 species